UCCAUAUUACCACUGAGCAUUCGAUCAAAGAAGAUGACCUUCCCCAAUAGAGGAGGACUCUUCUUUGGUCAAGGAUAUACGAGUAGCUGCAUUCCCCUGCUAGAAGCUCCAAACAAGCUGUCAAAGUCCAUAUUACUGUUGAAUAGGAGC
rnacentral:sRNA from 1 species